ensembl:lncRNA
AUGAGCGGAUCCCACCGGCCGCUUCCAGACCCACCGCAUCCGGCGGGGGAAGGCCUGCCAUCUUGUCCCGGGGGUCCAGCGGGGCACGAGCAGCGAGGCGGAGCCGCCUCCCGAGGGGCGCCCCCCGUCCUGCCGCGCACGCGCCACUGCCCAAGAUGGCCGCGGGGCCGCCCCUUAAAGGUCUCCCGCCAAGGGAAGGGGUUAGGGGACAGGUGGAGGUUACGGGAUAUGCGAAAUGGCACUGUGGCGAGCAGGGGGAGGGAGGGAAGGGGAGGGAGGAAGGAAGGAAGGAAGGAAGGGGAGGGAGGGACGAGCGGACAAGCGCGCGAGCGCUGUCACUGGCCUUGCGCCCGGCACAGGGCUCUCACGGAAGCCUCUGCGGCUGUAAAAUGGGUGUUGAGCAUCGCUGUGCAUCCAGGGCCGCUGUGCAUCCAGGGCGUGCCGCGGCCCCGCCUUUCUCUUCUGCUUGUGGCGCUCUUUAGUGUCCAACAACAAUGCAAAACGCUUAGAACGAAUCGCUGUACGAGCCCUCUCCUCUGCAGUUAUGGAAAGAUGAAGCUGCAAAGUUAUAUCAUCUGAGUGACAGCCGACUCGAACCUCAUAAACUUGCGUAUUGAUGUGAGAACUACUAUUCUUUACUGUAAAGUACUACCGAAGUUCUGUGUCUGAUUAAGGACUCACUACUCUGGGAGCUCACUUACGGUUGGACUUGUUAUAGAUGAUAAAAUAAUACAAGCAUUUGCAUUCAUAGGUUAGCUUUUGCAUCACAAGCAUUUUGAUAUGGUCAUGAAAAGAACAGGCAAAGAGACCAGCUUCUUUUUAAUGCCUUUAUUAAGGUCAGCUCUAGGUGGGGGAGCUCAAGAGGCUGCACCCACCACUGCUGCUCCCAAUGCACGACCCAGAGAAAGAAAUAUUAAGCUUUGUCUCAUGGCAGAGCUGGGGCUUCCAUCUUCCCAAGAAUUCCUAGGAACACUUGGGCUUGCUGUAAAUCUAGGGUGGUCAGGCACAGCAAGUGUUGUGUAGGUAUGGCAACAAGGUUGGGAAUAUCAGUAAGUUGCACAGCGUUCUCCCUUGCUCCUCAAUGUAGUUUGGAGUUCGGUUUGUGCCAUGGCUCACUGAUUCUAGGGGUCUUUAGAUGUUGAUUCCACUUCCCCUGGGUGCCAACCCCCGUGGGAGUUUGACUUACCUACAUACUGGGCAGUGUCACCAGCUGCCAUUAUGGGGUGCCUGGAGCAGCAGAGGCAAUAUAAAGGGCCACGUGGCAUUUAACAAGGCUGUCAGAACAUUGAUCUUUACCAAACAGGACACAACAUGAGGUAUUUAACAAAGAAGGCACCUUAUGGUGAAAAUAUUCUACUUUUCAAACCGAAAACAUCUUUGUAUACUGAUCAGGAGGUCACAUAUAACUCUACAGUACAACUUCUAACUGCUUUAUAUGAUGUCAGUUUAUGUAUGCACUGUAUAGUUCAUAUGAAGAGUAGUGUAAAAAUGUAUCGUAGGCCUUAGCAAAAUGUUAAAAUAGAGACUAAAAUACUUUUACGUAACUAACUCAGAAAAUUAUGUAAAGCAAUUAUUCUGUUUCUUACAUCCGUGGACUAGCCUCUCCAAGUAAUAAAAUAACAGUGACAAGAAACA